CAGGCUUAACACAUGCAAGUCGAGGGGCAGCAUGGUCUUAGCUUGCUAAGGCCGAUGGCGACCGGCGCACGGGUGAGUAACGCGUAUCCAACCUGCCUUACACUCUUGGACAGCCUUCUGAAAGGGAGAUUAAUACAAGAUGUUAUCAUGAGUAAGCAUUUUCGCAUGAUUAAAGGUUUACCGGUGUAAGAUGGGGAUGCGUUCCAUUAGAUAGUAGGCGGGGUAACGGCCCACCUAGUCUUCGAUGGAUAGGGGUUCUGAGAGGAAGGUCCCCCACAUUGGAACUGAGACACGGUCCAAACUCCUACGGGAGGCAGCAGUGAGGAAUAUUGGUCAAUGGACGAGAGUCUGAACCAGCCAAGUAGCGUGAAGGAUGAAGGUUCUAUGGAUUGUAAACUUCUUUUAUACGGGAAUAAACGAAUCCACGCGUGGAUUUUUGCAUGUACCGUAUGAAUAAGGAUCGGCUAACUCCGUGCCAGCAGCCGCGGUAAUACGGAGGAUCCGAGCGUUAUCCGGAUUUAUUGGGUUUAAAGGGAGCGUAGAUGGGUUGUUAAGUCAGUUGUGAAAGUUUGCGGCUCAACCGUAAAAUUGCAAUUGAUACUGGCAGUCUUGAGUACAGUUGAGGUAGGCGGAAUUCGUGGUGUAGCGGUGAAAUGCUUAGAUAUCACGAAGAACUCCGAUUGCGAAGGCAGCUUACUAACCUGUAACUGACAUUGAUGCUCGAAAGUGUGGGUAUCAAACAGGAUUAGAUACCCUGGUAGUCCACACGGUAAACGAUGAAUACUCGCUGUAGGCGAUAUACAGUCUGCGGCCAAGCGAAAGCAUUAAGUAUUCCACCUGGGGAGUACGCCGGCAACGGUGAAACUCAAAGGAAUUGACGGGGGCCCGCACAAGCGGAGGAACAUGUGGUUUAAUUCGAUGAUACGCGAGGAACCUUACCCGGGCUUAAAUUGCAACCGAAUAUGGCGGAAACGCUAUAGCUAGCAAUAGCGGUUGUGAAGGUGCUGCAUGGUUGUCGUCAGCUCGUGCCGUGAGGUGUCGGCUUAAGUGCCAUAACGAGCGCAACCCUUGCCGAUAGUUACUAACAGGUUAUGCUGAGGACUCUGUCGGGACUGCCAUCGUAAGAUGUGAGGAAGGUGGGGAUGACGUCAAAUCAGCACGGCCCUUACGUCCGGGGCUACACACGUGUUACAAUGGGGGGUACAGAGGGCUGCUACCACGCAAGUGGAUGCCAAUCCCAAAAACCUCUCUCAGUUCGGAUUGAAGUCUGCAACCCGACUUCAUGAAGCUGGAUUCGCUAGUAAUCGCGCAUCAGCCACGGCGCGGUGAAUACGUUCCCGGGCCUUGUACACACCGCCCGUCAAGCCAUGGGAGCCGGGGGUACCUGAAGUGCGUAACCGCAAGGAGCGCCCUAGGGUAAAACUGGUGACUG
rnacentral:rRNA from 1 species